GAGUGAACGCUGGCGGUAGGCCUAACACAUGCAAGUCGAACGGCAGCACAGUAAGAGCUUGCUCUUACGGGUGGCGAGUGGCGGACGGGUGAGGAAUACAUCGGAAUCUACUUUUUCGUGGGGGAUAACGUAGGGAAACUUACGCUAAUACCGCAUACGACCUACGGGUGAAAGCAGGGGAUCUUCGGACCUUGCGCGAUUGAAUGAGCCGAUGUCGGAUUAGCUAGUUGGCGGGGUAAAGGCCCACCAAGGCGACGAUCCGUAGCUGGUCUGAGAGGAUGAUCAGCCACACUGGAACUGAGACACUGUCCAGACUCCUACGGGAGGCAGCAGUGGGGAAUAUUGGACAAUGGGCGCAAGCCUGAUCCAGCCAUACCGCGUGGGUGAAGAAGGCCUUCGGGUUGUAAAGCCCUUUUGUUGGGAAAGAAAAGCAGCAGGUUAAUACCCCGCUGUUCUGACGGUACCCAAAGAAUAAGCACCGGCUAACUUCGUG
rnacentral:rRNA from 1 species